GAUGAACGCUGGCGGCGUGCCUAAUACAUGCAAGUUGAGCGAACAGACGAGGAGCUUGCUCCUCUGACGUUAGCGGCGGCCGGGUGAGUAACACGUGGAUAACCUACCUAUAAGACUGGGAUAACUUCGGGAAACCGGAGCUACUACCGGAUAAUAUAUUUAACCGCAUGGUUCAAUAGUGAAAGACGGUUUUGCUGUCACUUAUAGAUGGAUCCGCGCCGCAUUAGCUAGUUGGUAAGGUAACGGCUUACCAAGGCAACGAUGCGUAGCCGACCUGAGAGGGUGAUCGGCCACACUGGAACUGAGACACGGUCCAGACUCCUACGGGAGGCAGCAGUAGGGAAUCUUCCGCAAUGGGCGAAAGCCUGACGGAGCAACGCCGCGUGAGUGAUGAAGGUCUUCGGAUCGUAAAACUCUGUUAUUAGGGAAGAACAAAUGUGUAAGUAACUAUGCACGUCUUGACGGUACCUAAUCAGAAAGCCACGGCUAACUACGUG
rnacentral:rRNA from 1 species